CGGGAGGGUAGUUAGGGAAUAGUAUAAAUAAGGAGGAGGUGAUAUCAUCAGCCCUCCAGAUCCAUAAGCUGUAGCCAUCCCCUCUUUUCCCCACAGACAUCGCAAAUCCCUUUCAUCUCUCUCUUCUCUCUCCCUCUCUAUAAACCUCGUCCAUUGCGUAUAUAUAUAAGAGCGAUCAUAUAAAAGACUCCUCCUUUCGAAUUCUUACCGCUCUUAUUCCAAAUCAUCUCUCGUGUUUCCUCGUCUCUCAUCAUCUGCUCAGCAACGACUGUAUAAAAAACCCUAGAUCAUUCCUAUUCACACCUUCAAGUAUUGUGGAAGUUGGUAGUUCCUGGGCAAAAUUUGGAUAGAGCAAGUGAUUUGAUGGCAGAUCCUCAAGGUAUGGAAGGGAUCCAACCAGUUGAUCUCUCCAAACAUCCCUCCGGAAUUGUUCCAACUCUCCAGUAAGACCUUCAAUUUACUCUCUGUAAAAAAAACUUGUUUUCCACUGGUCUGCCGUCGCCCUUGUUAAUGCUGUUUGCAUCAAGUCUCCCGAGAUUAUAUGUAUGAUGGGUUUUAAUUAAAAAGUCUGAAUGUUGAGACAAAAAUGUUUUUUCA